rnacentral:lncRNA from 1 species
CCCACACUCUGUAACGGAUUCCACAAGGCUCCACCACUCUCAGGCAAGUCAUGACAACGGACACCACUCCACUCUCCGUAACAAACUCCACGUGGCCCUGAACGGCCCCUAGCGCCACUACUCUCCAUAACAAACUCCGCGUGGCUCUGAAUGGCCCACUACCAGGCGGUUACAGACGUCGCUGUCAAUCAGUUACACUCUCUGUCUAUAA